rnacentral:rRNA from 1 species
AUGAACGCUAGCGGCAUGCCUAACACAUGCAAGUCGAACGGCAGCGCAGGAAGUUUACUUCUUGGCGGCGAGUGGCGGACGGGUGAGUAAUACGUAGGAAUCUGCCUUAUAGUGGGGAACAACCCGGGGAAACUCGGGCUAAUACCGCAUAAUCUCCACGGAGCAAAGCGGGGGAUCUUUGGACCUCGCGCUAUGAGAUGAGCCUGCGUCGGAUUAGCUUGUUGGUGGGGUAAUGGCCUACCAAGGCAACGAUCCGUAGCUGGUCUGAGAGGAUGAUCAGCCACACUGGGACUGAGACACGGCCCAGACUCCUACGGGAGGCAGCAGUGGGGAAUAUUGGACAAUGGGGGCAACCCUGAUCCAGCAAUGCCGCGUGUGUGAAGAAGGCCUUCGGGUUGUAAAGCACUUUCAGUAGGGAAGAAAGGCUCAAGGUUAAUACCCUUGAGAGUUGACGUUACCUACAGAAGAAGCACUGGCUAACUCUGUGCCAGCAGCCGCGGUAAU